rnacentral:rRNA from 1 species
GUGGGGAAUAUUGGGCAAUGGAGGCAACUCUGACCCAGCAACGCCGCGUGAGUGAUGAAGGUCUUCGGAUUGUAAAACUCUUUAAGUGGGGACGAAGAAAGUGACUGUACCCACAGAAUAAGCCUCGGCUAACUACGUGCCAGCAGCCGCGGUAAUACGUAGGAGGCAAGCGUUAUCCGGAAUGACUGGGCGUAAAGGGUGCGUAGGUGGUUUGGCAAGUUAGUAGCGUAAUUCCGGGGCUCAACUUCGGAACUACUACUAAAACUGCUGGGCUUGAGUGCAGGAGGGGCAUAUGGAAUUCCUAGUGUAGCGGUGGAAUGCGUAGAUAUUAGGAGGAACACCAGUGGCGAAGGCGAUAUGCUGGACUGUAACUGACACUGAGGCACGAAAGCGUGGGGAGCAAACAGGA